rnacentral:tRNA from 1 species
CAGAGGGUAGUUUAAGUA